UACUCCCUACGGGAGGCAGCAGUAGGGAAUAUUGCUCAAUGGGGGAAACCCUGAAGUAGCAACGCCGCGUGGAGGUUGAAGGUUUUAGGAUUGUAAACUCCUUUUGUGAGAGAAGAUAAUGACGGUAUCUCACGAAUAAGCACCGGCUAACUCCGUGCCAGCAGCCGCGGUAAUACGGAGGGUGCAAGCGUUACUCGGAAUCACUGGGCGUAAAGAGUGCGCAGGCGGGGUUGUAAGUUAGAUGUGAAAUUCUGUAGAUUAAUUAAAGAA
rnacentral:rRNA from 1 species